CCAAAUCCUCUCUUUUUUUCCAUCUCAAGCUUUUUAUUUAGAACCAAAAAAAAAAACCCACCAUUUUUGUCCACUCAAUCUAAAGAUGUGCAUUAACUCAACUCCAAGCAAUUCUCAGUCUCAAAAGCAUUCUUACAACAGCCACAACAUUCGUUUAAUUCCAACACUCAACAGGUGGAGAAGAUUAAACAAGAAGAAGAAGAAGAAGAUGGCAAUAAUGGGUAUUGAAAAAACAAAUGAAAUGGAAAUGAAGAACUUGAAGUUGUUCAUGGAGAAUCAAAGCAUUAUAAAAGAAAAUGAGAGGUUAAGGAACAAAGCUCUUCUUCUUCAUCAAGAGAACCUUACUUUGUUGGCUCAGUUACAACACAACUUCUCCAUUAAUAAUUAGAAAUUAUUUGUUACCAUCUAUCAACUUCAUCUUCUUUAUUUUGCUUUAUUUUUAUUUUAUGGAUAUUUGAGUUUGGAAAUAAGUUUUUUUUAAUUUUGUGUA